rnacentral:rRNA from 1 species
UAAUACCAGCUCCUCGAGUGGUUGGGAUGAUUAUUGGGUCUAAAGCGUCCGUAGCCGGCCGGAAAAGUUCUCCGUUAAACCCAACGAUUCAAUCGUUGGACUGCGGGGAAUACUCUUCGGCUUGGGGGCGGGGGAAGUCGGCGGUAGUCCAAGGGUAGGGGUGAAAUCCUAUAAUCCUUGGAGGACCACCAGUGGCGAAGGCGGCCGACCAAAACGCGCCCGACGGUGAGGGACGAAAGCUGGGGGAGCGAACGGGAUUAGAUACCCCGGUAGUCCCAGCUGUAAACGAUGUGGACUAGGUGUUGGGAUGGGUAAGUCCUAUCUCAGUGCCGCAGGGAAGCCGGUAAGUCCACCACCUGGGAAGUACGGCCGCAAGGUUG